GAUGGACGCUGGCGGCGUGCCUAAUACAUGCAAGUCGAGCGAAUGGAUUAAGAGCUUGCUCUUAUGAAGUUAGCGGCGGACGGGUGAGUAACACGUGGGUAACCUGCCCAUAAGACUGGGAUAACUCCGGGAAACCGGGGCUAAUACCGGAUAACAUUUUGAACCGCAUGGUUCGAAAUUGAAAGGCGGCUUCGGCUGUCACUUAUGGAUGGACCCGCGUCGCAUUAGCUAGUUGGUGAGGUAACGGCUCACCAAGGCAACGAUGCGUAGCCGACCUGGGAGGGCGAGCGGCCACCCUGGGACUGAGACACGGCCCAGACUCCUACGGGAGGCGGCAGUAGGGAAGCUUCCGCAAUGGACGAAAGUCUGACGGAGCAACGCGGCGUGAGUGAUGAAGGCUUUCGGGUCGUAAAACUCUGUUGUUAGGGAAGAACAAGUGCUAGUUGAAUAAGCUGGCACCUUGACGGUACCUAACCAGAAAGCCACGGCUAACUACGUGCCAGCCGCCGCGGUAA
rnacentral:rRNA from 1 species